rnacentral:rRNA from 1 species
UAACGCGUGGGUAACCUGCCUNAUACAGGGGGAUAACAGUUGGAAACGACUGCUAAUACCGCAUAAGCGCACAGGAUCGCAUGAUCUGGUGUGAAAAACUCCGGUGGUAUGAGAUGGACCCGCGUCUGAUUAGCCAGUUGGCAGGGUAACGGCCUACCAAAGCGACGAUCAGUAGCCGACCUGAGAGGGUGACCGGCCACAUUGGGACUGAGACACGGCCCAAACUCCUACGGGAGGCAGCAGUGGGGAAUAUUGCACAAUGGGGGAAACCCUGAUGCAGCGACGCCGCGUGAGCGAAGAAGUAUUUCGGUAUGUAAAGCUCUAUCAGCAGGGAAGAAGAAUGACGGUACCUGACUAAGAAGCACCGGCUAAAUACGUGCCAGCAGCCGCGGUAAUACGUAUGGUGCAAGCGUUAUCCGGAUUUACUGGGUGUAAAGGGAGCGCAGGCGGUGCGGCAAGUCUGAUGUGAAAGCCCGGGGCUCAACCCCGGUACUGCAUUGGAAACUGUCGUACUAGAGUGUCGGAGGGGUAAGUGGAAUUCCUAGUGUAGCGGUGAAAUGCGUAGAUAUUAGGAGGAACACCAGUGGCGAAGGCGGCUUACUGGACGAUAACUGACGCUGAGGCUCGAAAGCGUGGGGAGCAAACAGGAUUAGAUACCCUGGUAAUCCACGCCGUAAACGAUGAAUACUAGGUGU